rnacentral:rRNA from 1 species
AUACGUGCUGGGCGAACGUUAUUCGGAAUCACUGGGCUUAAAGGGUGCGUAGGCGGUCCGGCAAGUCAGAUGUGAAAUCCCCCGGCCCAACCGGGGAACUGCGUUUGAAACUGCCGGACUUGAGUGCGAUAGGGGUGUGCGGAACUUCCAGUGGAGCGGUGAAAUGUGUUGAUAUUGGAAGGAACGCCGGUGGCGAAAGCGGCACACUGGGUCGCAACUGACGCUGAGGCACGAAAGCCAGGGGAGCGAACGGGAUUAGAUACCCUAGUAGUCC